GGGGGUGUCACGGUUUCGACGGGGGUACCAAACGUGAGGAUCGCGUGCCGGGGCUUUCCAGCUCAGCCCUGUAAAAAUGAGUCGGAAACACAGCUGCCAACGACGGCAACUACGGGCCUGUGGCCCUCGCUGCUUGAGCAAUCUAGCAACGACAUCUCUGCCCGAGGUGUUCCAGUAGGGACAGGGGUGUAAUCACGGGAGCUGGCCUUCGCGGAUGCCUCGACCGCGCGGGUGAGAACCAGAGGAUCGAGUGAGGGAGGGCCUGGCGAUGGGCAUGCCCCCACUCAAGACCCAAAUGCACCGCCUACGCACGUAGAGGUCCCACCGGCGGACUUUCGGACCCGGGUUCAACUCCCGGCGCCUCCAUCG
rnacentral:tmRNA from 1 species